UACAUAAUCAGAAAGGGUCAACAGAAAUUCUCGUGUUUUCAAAGAAUAUUCCUUAUUAAACCCAAUAAGAAUAUUUACUACCCUACCACCACUAAAGCCCGCCGUCCUCUUUCUCUGGCAUACCCUUCUUCAACAAAAUCUUUUUGGUAUCAGAUUUCAAUUGAAUUUUGUUUUGAGAUCUCUCCCAACUACAUUUCUAAUUAUCUCAAAACUAAAUUCACUUGAGAGAUAACAAAAAUUUCACUUAUAUAUAUAUAUAUAUAAAUAUACAUAUAUCAAGAAGGUUUAUCAUUCGACAGAGGUGUAAGAAUGGUCACUAAGACUGGAUACCCAGAAGAAAAAGAAGAAGAAGAAGAAGAACUCCGCUCUUGAUACACUUUCUGUUCAUUAUAAUAUUAUUAAUAUCACUAGGUUUGGUUUUUGUGUUUUCGACCAGUUUCUCUGUCUAAACCAAGAACAAGAAGAAGAUGAAUGGACCUGGCGAAGGAGGAGAGAGAAGCAACCUGAUAGAUCCCCUGCUAUGGCACGCCUGCGCCGGACGACUGGUUCAUGUGCCUCCGCUCAACUCUAAGGCGUUUUACUUCCCUCAAGGCCACGCCGAGCACGCCACAACCAACGCUGAUUGUUUCACUGCCAAUAGAGUUCCGUCAAAGAUUCUCUGCCGAGUCAAUGCCGUGGAAUUCAAGGCGGAUUGUCUUACCGACGAGGUUUUCACCAAGAUUAGUCUCGUCCCGGUGCCGAGUGAAGAGGAAUCGGAUAGUGAUGAAGAGAACGAGAACGACGCCAGCAGCGGUGGCGUUUUGAGUGGCAAUGAGGGUUUAGAGAAACCCAAAUUUUUUGCGAAGACGCUUACUCAAUCGGACGCAAACAAUGGUUGCGGUUUCUCGGUUCCGAAGCAAUGUGCGGAGACGAUUUUCCCGCCUUUAGAUUACAGUAAGGAUCCGCCAGUUCAGACUCUUUGUGCGAAGGAUGUUCACGACAGGCUUUGGAAAUUCAGACAUAUCUAUAGGGGAACGCCUCGGCGGCAUUUAUUGACUACUGGGUGGAGUAAUUUUGUGAACAAGAAGAAGCUGGUGUGCGGAGAUUCGAUUGUGUUCUUGAAGGCUAACAAUGGCGAUGUCUCUGUUGGGAUAAGGCGAGUGAAGAGGGGAAACGAAAGAGCUGAGGUAGAAUCCUCUUCUGGGUGGAACAAUAGUCCGUCGUUAGGUGGCCUUUCUCGCAACCAGAAGAGGAUUCUGAAUUUGAAUAGUUAUCGGAACAGUGGACGGGUCGGGAGAAUAAGGCCUGAAUCUUUUAUUAAAGCAGCAAAUCUUGCAGCCAAUGGGAAGCCAUUCGAAGUCGUUUAUUAUCCGACUGCUACCACUGCAGCGUUCUGCGUUAAGGCCUCGGUGGUGCAUGCGGUGAUGAGACGUCACUGGUUCCCUGGGACAAGGUUCAAGAUGGCUUUUGAGACUGACUAUUCCUCUCGGGUGAACUGGUUCAUGGGCACAGUAUCUUCUGUUAAAGAAGUUGACCCAAGUCGCUGGCCUCGUUCCCUGUGGCGGGUUCUUGAGGUGACAUGGGAUGAUGAAAAUUUUCUACAGAAUGUAAAACGCAUUAACCCAUGGUUGGUCCAAGUGACAAACACGGAAUACAUUCAACUCUCAUCCUUUUUGCCACCCAGACAGAAGUACCGGCUAUCUCAGUCUCAGCAAUCAGACAUAACCCAUGAAGGCGGCCAAUUAUCUCUGUCAUCCCCUCUAGGCAAUUCCCUUGGGCUCAGCAACCCUUUGGGUUAUCCAUCUAAUAACACUCCCGCAAGCAUACAGGGAGCCAGGCAAAUUUUACUUUUUGGUCAAUGCAUUGACAUUGGACAGAAACACUGUAAUAGCCCUCCUAGCUUCUCACAAGUCACUGAUGGGAGGGCUGCAGAAUAUGAAAACACAGACACAGAGAGAUCUCCUUCUAACAACUCGGGACCUACUCUUCAUCCUACUGGAAAUGCCUUCCUCAUAGACCAAACACGUGCCAGUGAAGGUUUAUCCAGCUUUCUUACCAUUGGGAAUUCUGGUCAGAGUUUGGAGAGGUCCAAUAAUGCCGGAAACAACCCGGUCGUACUAUUUGGUCAACGCAUAGACAUUGGACAGAAAAACUGUGAUAUCCCUCCUAGUUUCUCACAAGUUACCGCUGCAGAAUAUGAAACCACAGGCACAGAGAGAUCUCCUUAUGACUCAGGACCUACUCCUCAGCCUACUGAAAAUGGCCUGAAUUUAGGUCACCGUAAGAUAUUCAUAGAAUCUAACGAUUCAGGAUUGACUAAUGGCAUUUCAUUUCUUGGCUCUUAUGAGGGUCUCUUCAAGAAUUUGAGCGACUCGUAUCAAACAGAAGGAUCUCAGAUGCAGAACCCUGUUGUUUACUAUUGAUGCAUCUGGAGUUGCUAAAGGACCUGAAGAUGCCAUUUAGCGACUUUAUGAGAACAGCGAAAAGCCUAAAUAUUUUUACAGCUCCAGAAAGCAGAAAUUAUGGUAGGUACUAGAUAGACGAAUACAACUAGAUGCAGCGACUUUGCAAUUUCAGACGACGGGCAUAAGAGUUUGACUUCAGGCGUUGAGGACUCGAUUACGGAUUGUUUGCUAUGCUGGUUAGAAAAUAAUACUUGUUUGUGACUCAAGCUUCAUUAACCUCUCUCGAGUUCUACUCCCCUUGGAGGCUAGGACUUGGUUUACAUCACUUGUUUGAGAUAAUAGGAAGGAAUACGAUGAUAUGGUUCAUACUUGAUGUGUAGGUCGAAAUUAUCUUAAUAUGAUGUGGAAAAGACUGGUUAUUUCUAUUGGCAUAAAUGUAUAAGAUAAUAAUUAUUAAGGAUAUUUGCUACUCAAUAUUUGUGGUUUGUAACCGACAUAUGCCCAAUUUUUUUUAGUGAGGAAAGUGUGAAA